CAGACCAGUUCUCUGGCCGGGCGUGGCUUUCUGUGUGGUUCUCAAAAUACACACAUCACACGAAUGGUGCUAUCUCACAGCCAUAAGGGCCCCAUCAGGGCCAGAGGAGGAGAGUGGACAGUGUGACAGGGAGAAAUCACUGUGACAUCUGUGUGCGCUUUUCAGAGAUGGAUGAGAAGACACAUAAUGAUUAUUCAGAAAAAAUAAAGGCAGAGCCUGACCCCGCGGUGGUCCUCACGUCCAGAAAGACUGCUGUGUGAAGAGGUGCUUACACUUAACCUAGGCCAUUUCUCCAAGAUCAGAACUAGAGACAAGGCAGAAAUUAAAGGGGAGGGUGAAAGCCAUCUGCUGGACGAACGCAAACACCCGCCCUUGGAAGCACCUCCCACCCGGCUCCCUCGGUUGCUGUUCUGACCCUGCGGACGUUUGAGCAAAGUCGGAAACCCACUGGUGGGGACGUUGCAACUGCCAUCCUUGAGUGGACGUGACUUUGGAUUCUGUCCUUUUCACCAAAGCUGAGUCCUCAGCGCAUCUCAGGGGCUGUUUUGGGGGACAAGUGUCUUUCAUUUGGUUCAGAAAUAGUUUGGGGGGGAAAACAGGAGGAAAUACUAUCAGUGAAGUUAUUGGCCAUUCCCGUCCAUCCACCUAAGCGCCCCCUUCCUUCCCGUUCUGUUCUCUGCAGCGCAGCCAGUACCACGCCUGCUCCACGUCCUACGGCCGAUCAGUGUGCAUCUGCCUAAGUCCACAUCUCCAAAAGUGCGAGGGAAGUGCACUGAUCUGUUCCUAUGUGACAAGUCCUCUCUCCUCUUAACGUAUUGAGGGCUACGUCUCAUACCUUGUGACUCUGAGGACCACGUCUCAUACCUUGUGACUCUGAGGAAGAAUCCCAUGAAGAAAUCGGUGCAGAACAGGAGCCAGGGUGACGGGAAAGGAGCAGGCUGUUUUGCUGAGUGGGAGCCCCCAGACGUCUGGGACAGGCGACCUGACACCUCCUUGACGGAAACCACUCUUCUCGUUUCACACAUUUGCUGUCAGGAUGAGAGAAGGCAGAGAGAAGAACAAAAGCCGGGAUCUGCACCAGAAGUCAUGAGUUUCUGUCUCGGUCCCACCGCUCUGCAGCAAUGGAGUUAUUCAGCCUCUCCAAGCCUCAGUUUCCUCAUAAAGCAGGCUUGUAGGAACCCCCACAGCCACUCCUGACAUCCUUGCCUCCCCGCCACCACGUGGUCAGAUCCGCCCUGGGACCAAGGACCAGAAAAAGAAAUCAGACACAAGUGAAGCAGACAGAGCAACAGCCUGAAGCCAUGAUUCAGAGACGGCAUGACCACUUCUGCCUACACGCCUAGAAAAUCCCGAAUAGGGGGAAAAACCAGCACAUUCUCCUUUAUUCACAGAGCAGUUCUGGCGUGGAGGUGACAGCGCACAAAGGGCUAUUCCUGAUAAUGCAGGGUCUCCCUGUUGUAGAAAGAGGCUUUGGAGUCAGAUAUAAAAUCUGGCCACACCAUUCAUGCGCUGUGUGAUCUUAAUUAGUGUAUUAUCUCUGAGCCUGAGUUUCCUGAUCGCUGAUUGAAGAGAGCCCUACCUACCUCCCGGUUGGCGGGGCAAACAUAAAAUACGUGUGCAGCAAAAGGAUCUGAUAGGAUAAAAUGAUCAUCACUGUCCCUGCCUUGCCAUUUAGAACAAGGUCAGAUCCUCUGCUUGCAUUCGUCAGUUACACCUGCAGCACCCUGGCAUCAGGGUGAAAAAGGAAAGCCUUGGAACUAGUCACCAACCCAACAACUUCAGGGCUGGCAACUCCCGAAUAACCUGCCAAGCUCUGCCAGCAGUUAAGGAUUCAACUUUCCCUGUAGACCUACACACCAGAGGCAGUUGGAUAAUCACUUCUAAUCACCUAUUGACUGGGUUGCUUUUUGUUUCAGCACUGCCGGGACAGAGGUUGG